rnacentral:rRNA from 1 species
AGUGAACGCUGGCGGUAGGCCUAACACAUGCAAGUCGAACGGCAGCACAGGAGAGCUUGCUCUCUGGGUGGCGAGUGGCGGACGGGUGAGGAAUACAUCGGAAUCUACUUUUUCGUGGGGGAUAACGUAGGGAAACUUACGCUAAUACCGCAUACGACCUACGGGUGAAAGCAGGGGAUCUUCGGACCUUGCGCGAUUGAAUGAGCCGAUGUCGGAUUAGCUAGUUGGCGGGGUAAAGGCCCACCAAGGCGACGAUCCGUAGCUGGUCUGAGAGGAGGAUCAGACACACUGGAACUGAGAGACGGUCCAGACUCCUACGGGAGGCAGCAGUGGGGAAUAUUGGACAAUGGGCGCAAGCCUGAUCCAGCCAUACCGCGUGGGUGAAGAAGGCCUUCGGGUUGUAAAGCCCUUUUGUUGGGAAAGAAAUCCAGCUGGUUAAUACCCGGUUGGGAUGACGGUACCCAAAGAAUAAGCACCGGCUAACUUCGUGCCAGCCGCCGCCGUAA